UGAGUAGAGUAAUCUGAGUAAAUAAGAAAGACUAGAAGUGAUUUAGAAGAGAUUUGAGUAUGAAAUGAGAUUAGGAGUCUAGUAUAGAACCACUGAGAGAAUAAAGACUAAGAGAGACUCAUAACUUGCUUGAUCUUAUUAAUGAGAGAGUUUACACUUAUAUAGGAAGCUUAAGUGUGGGAACCGAAAUUCGCACUGUCGAUUUCCGUUUAAAUAAGGAAACUAGGAAAACCCUAAUUUCCCAGAGGACCCGGAUCUCUGCGAGAGCCAACGACAAGUAACCAAACAAAUGCG
rnacentral:lncRNA from 1 species